UUCGGCUAGGGGGCCAUCCCGGCUUACCAACCCGAUGCAAACUGCGAAUACCGGAGAAUGUUAUCACGGGAGACACACGGCGGGUGCUAACGUCCGUCGUGAAGAGGGAAACAACCCAGACCGCCAGCUAAGGUCCCAAAGUCAUGGUUAAGUGGGAAACGAUGUGGGAAGGCCCAGACAGCCAGGAUGUUGGCUUAGAAGCAGCCAUCAUUUAAAGAAAGCGUAAUAGCUCACUGGUCGAGUCGGCCUGCGCGGAAGAUGUAACGGGGCUAAACCAUGCACCGAAGCUGCGGCAGCGACACUCAGGUGUUGUUGGGUAGGGGAGCGUUCUGUAAGYCUGCGAAGGUGGSCUGUGAGGSWUGCUGGAGGUAUCAGAAGUGCGAAUGCUGACAUAAGUAACGAUAAAGCGGGUGAAAAGCCCGCUCGCCGGAAGACCAAGGGUUCCUGUCCAACGUUAAUCGGGGCAGGGUGAGUCGACCCCUAAGGCGAGGCCGAAAGGCGUAGUCGAUGGGAAACGGGUUAAUAUUCCCGUACUUGGUGUUACUGCGAAGGGGGGACGGAGAAGGCUAUGUUGGCCGGGCGACGGUUGUCCCGGUUUAAGCGUGUAGGUGUGUGUUCCAGGUAAAUCCGGUUCACUUUAACACUGAGGCGUGAUGACGAGGCACUACGGUGCUGAAGCAACAAAUGCCCUGCUUCCAGGAAAAGCCUCUAAGCAUCAGGUAACAUCAAAUCGUACCCCAAACCGACACAGGUGGUCAGGUAGAGAAUACCAAGGCGCUUGAGAGAACUCGGGUGAAGGAACUAGGCAAAAUGGUGCCGUAACUUCGGGAGAAGGCACGCUGACAUGUAGGUGAAGUGAUUUACUCAUGGAGCUGAAGUCAGUCGAAGAUACCAGCUGGCUGCAACUGUUUAUUAAAAACACAGCACUGUGCAAACACGAAAGUGGACGUAUACGGUGUGACGCCUGCCCGGUGCCGGAAGGUUAAUUGAUGGGGUCAGCGCAAGCGAAGCUCCUGAUCGAAGCCCCGGUAAACGGCGGCCGUAACUAUAACGGUCCUAAGGUAGCGAAAUUCCUUGUCGGGUAAGUUCCGACCUGCACGAAUGGCGUAAUGAUGGCCAGGCU
rnacentral:rRNA from 1 species